rnacentral:rRNA from 1 species
UACGUAGGGUGCGAGCGUUAAUCGGAAUUACUGGGCGUAAAGCGUGCGCAGGCGGUUCGUCGUGUCCGAUGUGAAAGCCCCGGGCUCAACCUGGGAACGGCGCUUGGGACGGCGAGGCUGGAGUUCGGGAGAGGAGAGUGGAAUUCCCAGUGUAGAGGUGAAAUUCGUAGAUAUUGGGAAGAACACCGGUGGCGAAGGCGGCUCUCUGGACCGACACUGAC